rnacentral:misc_RNA from 1 species
CAGAGUUACAAACUCCCACAAACCAUCGCUGAACAUUACCUACAUAGUUGCUUCGGCGGGCUUGCCCGGCCGCUCCCGUGUGCCCCGGAUCAGGCGCCCGCCUAGUGGCAACGUAUACACUCUUGUUAUUUAGGACAUUCAUCUGAGUAGCUAUACUUAAAUAAUA